UUGACAUCCUCGACCAGACAAGAAGGGCCGCCUGCACGCACAGGGGAAGGCCCUUCAGAGGCGGCAGAAAGCACCCACAGGGAAUGUGACAUUCUCUCUCCGAAUCUGCCAGGUUUUUUGGUGAGCAUAGGUUGUGCCCAGCAAUGUCCAAACAUCUGUAGCCCUGCGGGUGGCCCACUCUGAGCCCCGACCAUUUGAUUUUAAGAGAGAGGAACUGGAUGAGAAAUCCCUGGGAUUGACCUUUAUUUGAUGAACACAGAAGAACAAACAAAUCAUGGCUUGGCAGGGCAGCCUGCCCUGGGUCUGCAGCCCUGAUGUUUCAUGGGACACUCUGCAAACGCCUAUGUAAUACCAGGCAUGGCAUCUGCUGCAGCUUGGCCCACAAGCCCUGUCGGCCAUGUCUUCAAACUGUGUGUGUGUGUGUGUGUGUGUGUUUGUGGGUGCGCGCGCGCAUGCGCAUGCAUGCUCCUGCUUUUCUGGAAAGGGUACCAAGUGAGAAUUCUGACUCUAUCAUGAACCUCUACGAGGAUAACAAUGGUAUUUCUUUUCCUCUCUUACUUCAGUCCCCUCACCUGUGAAAUGAGGCUAAUGGGAAUUACUACUUCCCUGGGCUCUUGUGAGAAUUAAGGAGGUGGAUAUUGUUAAAACACUUCAGAUAAUAUUUUGCACAUAGUAGACACUCAAUAAAUACUAGUUAUUUUUA